AUUAACAGGAUUAGAUACCCUGGUAGUCCACGCUGUAAACGAUGUCGAUUUGGAGGUUGUGCCCUUGAGGCGUGGCUUCCGGAGCUAACGCGUUAAAUCGACCGCCUGGGGAGUACGGCCGCAAGGUUAAAACUCAAAUGAAUUGACGGGGGCCCGCACAAGCGGUGGAGCAUGUGGUUUAAUUCGAUGCAACGCGAAGAACCUUACCUACUCUUGACAUCCAGAGAACUUUCCAGAGAUGGAUUGGUGCCUUCGGGAACUCUGAGACAGGUGCUGCAUGGCUGUCGUCAGCUCGUGUUGUGAAAUGUUGGGUUAAGUCCCGCAACGAGCGCAACCCUUAUCCUUUGUUGCCAGCGGUUCGGCCGGGAACUCAAAGGAGACUGCCAGUGAUAAACUGGAGGAAGGUGGGGAUGACGUCAAGUCAUCAUGGCCCUUACGAGUAGGGCUACACACGUGCUACAAUGGCGUAUACAAAGAGAAGCGACCUCGCGAGAGCAAGCGGACCUCAUAAAGUACGUCGUAGUCCGGAUUGGAGUCUGCAACUCGACUCCAUGAAGUCGGAAUCGCUAGUAAUCGUAGAUCAGAAUGCUACGGUGAAUACGUUCCCGGGCCUUGUACACACCGCCCGUCACACCAUGGGAGUGGGUUGCAAAAGAAGUAGGUAGCUUAACCUUCGGGAGGGCGCUUACCACUUUGUGAUUCAUGACUGGGGUGAAGUCGUAACAAGGUAGCCAAU
rnacentral:rRNA from 1 species